rnacentral:rRNA from 1 species
GACGAACGCUGGCGGCAUGCCUAACACAUGCAAGUCGAACGAGACCUUCGGGUCUAGUGGCGCACGGGUGCGUAACGCGUGGGAACCUGCCCUUAGGUUCGGAAUAACUCCCCGAAAGGGGUGCUAAUACCGGAUAAUGUCUUCGGACCAAAGAUUUAUCGCCUUUGGAUGGGCCCGCGUUGGAUUAGCUAGUUGGUAGGGUAAAAGCCUACCAAGGCGACGAUCCGUAGCUGGUCUGAGAGGAGGAUCCGCCACACUGGGACUGAGACACGGCCCAGACGCGGACGGAGGGCAGCAGGAGGGAAUCUUCAGCAAGGGGCGAAAGCCGGACGGAGAAACGCCGCGGGAGGGAGGAAGGUCUGCGGAUCGUAAAACUCUGUGAUGAGGGAAGAACAAAUGGGUAAGGAACUAUGCACGUCUUGACGGUACCGAAUCAGAAAGCCACGGCAAACUACGUG